GGGACUGUGGCUUCGUGGAAGAGUGCUUGCCUAGCAUGCAUGAAGACGCUGGGUUCAAUUCCUCAGUUCCA
rnacentral:tRNA from 1 species